UACGAAGGGGGCUAGCGUUGCUCGGAAUGACUGGGCGUAAAGGGCGCGUAGGCGGCUGUUCCAGUCAGAUGUGAAAUUCCUGGGCUCAACCUGGGGGCUGCAUUUGACACGUGAUGGCUGGAGUGGGGAAGAGGGUCGUGGAAUUCCCAGUGUAGAGGUGAAAUUCGUAGAUAUUGGGAAGAACACCGGUGGCGAAGGCGGCGACCUGGUCCUUGACUGACGCUGAGGCGCGAAAGCGUGGGGAGCAAACAGG
rnacentral:rRNA from 1 species